GUGUAGGAGUGUGGGUGGCCAGUGAAACUAGAGAAUAAUCCCUGGCCAACAGUUUCAGAGAAACGGGUACCACAGUCCUACAACCACAUGGAACUGAAUUCUGCCAGCAACAGUGAAUGAGCUUGGAAGUGAAUACAUCCCCAGAGCCUCAAGAAAAGACUACAGCCCUACAGGCUACAACACAAUGGAGAAUACCUUAAGAAAAGAAAAUGAUCGCCCCCAAGGUGUACACAUCAUAAUCUCCAGAACAUGUGACGUCCCAGAACCUCACAUGACAAAAGGGAUUUGCAGAGGUGAUUAAAUUAAGAGUCUUGAGAUGAUUGGAAGAUUUUGGAU